CCUUCCCUUUACUGAGACAUGCAGCAGGACUCAGCUAUGAUCCUGGCACAGGGUUAUUUGGCUGGUGCGUCAUGUUAUGAGUUCAGCUGUGUCAAGUAAACUCUUGUGGGAUAAAGCCAGCUGACUCAGCGGGCAUCUGAGGAAGACAGCGUCCAGGACGGCAAGGGAAACUUCGUUAUCAAAGAGCCAUUGAGUGAUAGCAAGAAAUCAAUGGAGGCCCACAAGGUAAAUUCAUCUUAAUUUUGUGUUUUCAUAUGAGCAGAAAUGAGAGAAAAUGCCUAAAUCAUUUGCAGCAGUGAGUGACAACAGAGGUGAAUAGAAACAUGUGAAUACUCCUUAAGACAACCCCUCCCAUCCCUAGGGAAACUGCCAUGAUGACCCACUGUCACUGAUACUCUUUUAUUUAAUUCCUUCUGGCAUGCCAGGGUGGAGAAUAGACUAAGCACCCGCUGUUCCACAUUUUAACAUAGAAGGCUUAACGUACUAAUUUUCUAUCACUGUGUAACAAACGACCACAGACUAGUAGCUUUAAACAACACCUAUUUGUUA
rnacentral:lncRNA from 1 species